GCCUAGUUAGCUUAGUUAGUAAGUAGUGCGUCUGCCUUAUAAGCGCUAGGCCGCGGGUUCGAUUCCCGCCCGGGGCG
rnacentral:tRNA from 1 species